CCUAGAAGUGGCCCUCCCUGGCCGAAGCUUCAGAGAGGUAUGCAGCAGGAUUCUUGCCUCCUGAGUCACCGCUUCCAGGAAAGGGGGCGGGGCACCCUUAGCUGCGUGGUCAGCUGAGACCUGGGGCCCUAGGGUCCCGGAGAGAGCUGCCUCAGGCAUUGUACACCUGAAGCCAGGUGUGCUCCAGAACGUGCACAUUUCCUGUUUGUCACCUGGGUGGGGUCCGCAACUAUGGUCGUGAACUUCACGACUCACAAAUUCCUGUUUCUCCAGUCACCUUGACAGGAAUGGAGGCCAGGGAGGACCAAGCUCCUCUGGUGCAAGUUGGGAGAGCCUAAGGAGGGCACAGAUCCACCCCAGGUCAAUGAAGCUGUCCUCUGGGUCUUUUGGGGGAUAAUUUAUUUUGACAGGGGAGGGGAACCGGAGAAACGGCUAGGCAAACUUGAGUGAGGUCUGUGGGUCUUCUGUGUCUGUGUAAAGCUGCACACACAUUUAGGGGUGCACUUAAUCAGCAGGGGAAGUUGGGGUUCUGGGGUCUCACCUUCGACCCUGAACUGAUAUGGUGAUUUAAGACCUGCUGUGGAGCAGCCUGUCCUAGACUCUGAACUCCCAAUUACUCCAUCCCCAGCUACAACCAACAACCAACAGAUGAACGAAGAUCAUUUCUAAGGGUCCCUGGUGCAAGUAGUGAAGCGGACCAAGGUGCUGAUGUGAACCAGGAGGGACCAGAGGAUUCUCUUGGAUGGAUCUUGGGGUUCUCCCUGAGAGCUGACGGCUCCACCCCGAUCAGUAGGGACCCUGGAUCUACCAAAGACCACCCCCUCACUCACCUGGGCCGGACUCUGGGAGGAUCCGACGGGACUCAAUCUGGAGGCUCAGCGGUUGAGGAGCGCAGUGUCCACGCCCCAGCCGGGUCCAGCCUCGCCAGCACUCCACCUGGCUGGAGCCCAGCCCUAGCACCUGGCCCCGCCCCUUCAGCCCGGCACACCUUCCCCGCCCCUUCAGGCUCCGCCUCCAAAGGAACCUCCCAGGUGCUCUCCCCGUCCCCUUGGAACUUGUCCGCCUGCAGCGGCAUCCGUGUGCGUCCGUCCGUGAGUGUGAGUGUGUGCGUCUGUUCUCAAUAGACUCCCCGUCCUUGGCAACUCCAAAUAGCCCCGCUCUUUAGACAGGCGCCCCACCUCCUCACGGCCACGCCCCACUUAGUACCAUUCUUUGGGAUUUUUCUCUUUCCUUUUCUUCUUUCUCUGCCCCCCCCCCCUUUUUACAGAAUUCAGCUAUCUCUCCGAGGAUGACCUUGGACUCCUGGUCCUCCUUCCUCCAUCUCCCGCGUGCUGGAACGGCGGGGGGGAGCUGCCAUGCGCGGUGCCGGGGACUGAACCUCCCGGCUUUGUGCACGCUGGAGAGCGCUCAACCCACUGAGGCCUAGAAUGACUUUUCCCACAUACCAUGUCUCCAUAGGACCGGGCGGUGUCUCUCCAAAUCCCCAGGGAUCCAAAUCAGUUCAGGGCAGUCCUAGCCUGUGGCAACAAACCUGCUGCUUCCUCCAGGCCAUCCUCACCCUGCUGGGGAUGAGAGUUGAGAGACUUGUGGGGAAGUAGACAGCCUCCAUCAAAGACGGAGCUGGGCGGGAGUUUGGGACCAGGAUGAAGACUGAGGGUUCGGAUGGUUUCUCAGGUUGGGGGUGGGGUUCCAUCCUGAUGCCCAGAGACGAGGCAGAGGAAGUUGGGGGUUGCAAAUCUGCGGCAAGAGAGGCGAUAUGCACUUGUUAAAAGGCCACGUUUAUUCAAAGCUCACUAGUAAGUCAGGCUGUGGCGGGUGUUCAGUGGGUAGAGCGCUGGCCCAGCAUGCACGAACCAACUGCAGCACUCGAGAGGAGGAGGCAGGAGGAUCAAGACUUCAGUCAGCCUUAGCUACACUGCGAAGUUCAAGGCCAGUCUGGGCUAUAUGAGAUUCUUUAAAGUAUUCCAUAUAAUAGCGGCAACGCUUAUUGAACACCUACUGGAUACUAAGACAAUUCAGCUUGCUAGUCCUGACCCUACGGGUUAAUUUUGACUCACUCCAGGAAUGAGACAGGUGCUAUUCACGUCACCCACCCCACCCCACCCCAUUUUCCCAGUGGAGAAACUGAGGCACAGGGGUGAAGGAGCUAAGUCAUUCGUGCAAAUGUACCGCAGCCUGGGAGUGGUAGGGAUGGAUUUUGAAUUUAGAGCCCUAGUUGAUGCUUUCCAGCCUACCUCGUUUUUUUUCACAGCCUGGCCUCCCCCUGUAAUCUUCGACCCUGACCGUGAGCAGAGAAAGUAAAUUGUUACCCAGUUUACAGAAGAGGGAGAGGAUGCGUAGGAAGUCACAGAUGUCAAAAAUAGGGGAUGGAAACUGUCCUCGCUUGCAGAGUUGCAAAAGGGAGGGUUUCCAGGCUGUGCCCACCUCUUCCCCCAUCUCCCCGCUAUGUAAAUCAGACUCACGGUGGUCCAGGGAAGCGGUCUAGCACCGCCUAGUGGCCAUAAGGAUGAAAAGGCAGAGUGGGAGGGGAGCUACUUGGAAACUGGUGAGCUAAAUCUUGAGAAGGGCUUCCAGGCAAAGGGAAUUUUAGCUCCUAAUAAUAGUAGCUAAAUUAUAAGUAAGUAGGAAGGCAGUAAAUAUUUGUUAAGCAAACUAAUUCGUGAAUGACAGGGGAGGGUGAUGGUGGCUUUGACUCAAAGGGGAACUCAACAGCUGGAAAGGUGGGCUAUAUAAUUGUCAGGUUUAUUGGGUAUCAGAGUUUAUAGAGAGGGAAAGGACAGGAAAGGGUGGAGGAGGGCUGUGAUUUGAAAUUUUGGAAGACCUCAGAAAAAAUGACAUUUGGAGGCUCAAGAGACUGCUCAGUCAAGUGUGCGCUAUAGGAUUGAGAGGCCCUGAGUUCAAAUCCCUGGCAUACACUUAAAGCAGGAGGAGGUAGUCUAGGCUCUUUAUUCUCUAUGCUCCUAGGAUGUGAUGGGAAGCAGAGACAGUUGUGGAAGCUCAGGGACCAGCUAUCCAGGAACAGAGAGAGAAAGAGAGAGAGAGAGAGAGAGAGAGAGAGAGAGAGAGACUGCCUUAAGCAGUAUGGAGGAGAAGACCUUCAUUGAGGUUGUCCUGUGACUUCAACACAUCUGUCAGUGUGUUGAAGCACCCACACUCCACACACAAACAUGCACAAACACAUGCUAUUCACAGCACAAGAUCAAAAAGAAAGAAAGAAGAAAAGAAAGAAAAAAAAGGGUGGUGAGAGGGCUCAGUGGGCAAAGGUGAUUGCUGCAAGCCUGAAGAUCUGAGUUCAAUCCCUGGAACUGACAUGGUGGAAGAAGAGAACAGACUCCUUCCCUCAUGUCCUCUGACCUCCACACAUAAACUAUGCCCCACAAGUGUCUUCACACGCAUACACAGAUAUGACAUAUAUACAUAUA